CAAACGGGUACAUAUAUACCCUGACACAAAGGUACACGUUGAUACAAAAGUACACAGGUAUACAGACACACAAGUACACAAACAGGCACACAGGUGCCUGACAUACACACAUACAUAUACAAUUUACUUACUUUUGAUGCAGAAGGGUGGCUUCCCAGGGGGCCAGUGGAAGCUUGCUGACCUAGGCUGAUGGGAGUCUAAGGCACCAGGCUUCCUCAGCUCCUCCUACCCACACAGCACUCUUUUAGUUGGGAGGAAGUGACCUGUCCUGAACUCACUUCCUCCCAGCAGGCCGGUAGAACAAAGUGAAAGUGGCUCGGUCCAGGAGCAUUUUAAAGAGCCACGGGUACCUGAUUAAAUUGUUG